rnacentral:misc_RNA from 1 species
GAUGAAGAACGUAGCGAAAUGCGAUAAGUAAUGUGAAUUGCAGAAUUCAGUGAAUCAUCGAGUCUUUGAACGCACAUUGCGCCCCCUGGUAUUCCGGGGGGCAUGCCUGUCCGAGCGUCAUUGCUGCCCUCAAGCACGGCUUGUGUGUUGGGCCCCCGUCCCCGGUUUCCCCCGGGGACGGGCCCGAAAGGCAGCGGCGGCACCGCGUCCGGUCCUCGAGCGUAUGGGGCUUUGUCACCCGCUCUGUAGGCCCGGCCGGCGCCAGCCGACACCCAACUUUAUUUCUAAGGUUGACCUCGGAUCUGGUAGGGAUACCCGCUGAACUUAAGCAUAUCAAUAAGCGGAGGA